GAUGAACGCUGGCGGCGUGCCUAAUACAUGCAAGUCGAGCGAACAGACGAGGAGCUUGCUCCUCUGACGUUAGCGGCGGACGGGUGAGUAACAUGUGGAUAACCUACCUAUAAGACUGGGAUAACUUCGGGAAACCGGAGCUAAUACCGGAUAAUAUAUUGAACCGCAUGGUUCAAUAGUGAAAGACGGUUUUGCUGUCACUUAUAGAUGGAUCCGCGCCGCAUUAGCUAGUUGGUAAGGUAACGGCUUACCAAGGCAACGAUGCGUAGCCGACCUGAGAGGGUGAUCGGCCACACUGGAACUGAGACACGGUCCAGACUCCUACGGGAGGCAGCAGUAGGGAAUCUUACGCAAUGGGCGAAAGCCUGACGGAGCAACGCCGCGUGAGUGAUGAAGGUCUUCGGAUCGUAAAACUCUGUUAUUAGGGAAGAACAAAUGUGUAAGUAACUAUGCACGUCUUGACGGUACCUAAUCAGAAAGCCACGGCUAACUACGUG
rnacentral:rRNA from 1 species